rnacentral:lncRNA from 1 species
GUCAUCAGCAUCCUGGGGGGUGUCGUAGCUGCUGGACUCAUCAUCGGUGUUGCUGUCACUGUGUUCAUGGUCUACCGGCGUCAACAGAAGACACGCACAGAGACAGAUAAUGACCUGACAGACCUCCCGCCGGCUCACAAACCAGCCCCACCUCCACCGCAGAAGAAGACCAGCGACUCAAAGACCCACCUGACAUCUGAUGACAUACAGGUGGUCCACCUGGACAAGGAGGAUGAGAUGCAGAAACUGCCACUCCAACCCCCUUACUACGACAUGGCUCCAUCUGAGGCGAACUCUGGCCACAAGGACUUCGACGUCCAGUAUGCUGAACUGGACACCACGGCCCUGGCCUCCUCGCCCAACCCCCGAGGCCCUGUGCAGCCACCAGGCGGCGACCUGGUCGAGUAUGCAACCAUCCAGCCUAGCUCUCACUAGCGCAUGCCACUGUAGGCCUUUUUCCCUCAGACCCCCGGCCUCAAGAACCACAGGAAGCGUCACAAAGAGCUAUCAAACCCGGCUGACUCUGUGAACAGUCAUCGGUCCCGACCCUGGGAGGUUCAUCUGGAGCCUCGGCCUCCGCCGGCCCACCCCCCACUGGCCGUCUCGCCCCUCGGUCCUUGCGCACAGCCCCCCUCCAGCAGCCCCACAUUACGGCCACCCGCCGCGAGCCUGCGGGUCCUCUACAGCUUCCCUCAGGACCAGCGCAUCUAGCGUCGAGCAUCCUCCGCGGUCGUGGCACGACACCCGGCUCUCUCCACACUUCUCCUUGACCACUCUUCACGUCAGCCUUGUCUUCCACUAGCUUUAGCUGUUCGAAUUUUUCAUUUGCCAAGUUUCCUUGUCCUCAUGUACAAGACACACC